CAGCAGCCGCGGGAAUACGAAGGGGGCUAGCGUUGCUCGGAUUUACUGGGCGUAAAGCGCACGUAGGCGGAUCGAUCAGUCAGGGGUGAAAUCCCAGAGCUCAACUCUGGAACUGCCUUUGAUACUGUCGAUCUGGAGUAUGGAAGAGGUGAGUGGAAUUCCGAGUGUAGAGGUGAAAUUCGUAGAUAUUCGGAGGAACACCAGUGGCGAAGGCGGCUCACUGGUCCAUUACUGACGCUGAGGUGCGAAAGCGUGGGGAGCAAACAGGAUUAGAUACCCCAGUAGUCCCUGUCUCUUAUAC
rnacentral:rRNA from 1 species